rnacentral:rRNA from 1 species
CCUGUGACAUGUUUUAACGGCCGCGGUAUUUUGACCGUGCAAAGGUAGCGUAAUCACUUGUCUUUUAAAUGAAGACCCGUAUGAAAGGCAUCACGAGAGUUUAACUGUCUCUAUUUUCUAAUCAAUGAAAUUGAUCUACUCGUGCAGAAGCGAGUAUAAUCACAUCAGACGAGAAGACCCUAUGGAGCUUCAAACACAUAAAUUAACUACAUAAAUUAAUUAUUCCACGGAUAUAAAUAAAAAUACAGUACCUUUAAUUUAACUGUUUUUGGUUGGGGUGACCAAGGGGAAAAACAAAUCCCCCUUAUCGACUGAGUACUCAAGUACUUAGAAAUUAGAUUUACAACUCUAAUUAAUAAAAUAUUUAUCGAACAAUGACCCAGGAUUUCCUGAUCAAUGAACCAAGUUACCCUAGGGAUAACAGCGCAAUCCUUUCUCAGAGUCCCUAUCGCCGAAAGGGUUUACGACCUCGAUGUUGGAUCAGGACAUCCUAAUGAUGCAACCGUUAUUAAGGGUUCGUUUGUUCAACGAUUAAUAGUCCUACGUGA